rnacentral:antisense_RNA from 1 species
CUUCACCGAGCCCAGCCGCAGCGGCGCGGUGCGGUCCUGCCCGUAGGUGGCCAGCAGCGCCUGCGCCUC